rnacentral:rRNA from 1 species
CGAAAUAGUUUGAGCUAAAUAUUUGGCAAUGUUGGUUGCUUGUAGGUGAUGUUGCAUAAUCACUUUAGUAAUUAUGUUUAGGGGUGAUAGGCCGUUCAAAAACUAUGAUAUCUUGAACCUAAUAAAAAGUAUAUAGUACAUUUAAUUCAUUUAUUGAGUGAUUAGGCUUAAUAACACUAUUAAUUUAUAUGGUAUAUUGGUAUUAUGAUGUAAUAAUUAAAUAUGAAUAUAUGCUAAUAUUCUUUUAUUGUAAUUUGUAAGGGUGUAAUUAGGUAAAGGUAAGCUUAUACCUCUGUUAAUAAUGUUUAUAUUAGUACUUACUAUAUAUCAAUUUAAUGAACUCGGCAACUUGCUCCUCAACUGUUUAUCAAAAACAUAGCUGCGUGUAUUAAUACGUAGUGGUUUCUGCUCAAUGAUUUUUAAAUAGCCGCAGUA